rnacentral:tRNA from 1 species
AGUAAGAUAAGCUAAAAUAAGCUAGUGGGUUCAUACCCCAAAUAUGAGAUUAAACUCUCUUACUA